rnacentral:rRNA from 1 species
UGGCGGACGGGUGAGUAAUGUCUGGGAAACUGCCUGAUGGAGGGGGAUAACUACUGGAAACGGUAGCUAAUACCGCAUAACGUCGCAAGACCAAAGAGGGGGACCUUCGGGCCUCUUGCCAUCGGAUGUGCCCAGAUGGGAUUAGCUAGUAGGUGGGGUAACGGCUCACCUAGGCGACGAUCCCUAGCUGGUCUGAGAGGAUGACCAGCCACACUGGAACUGAGACACGGUCAGACUCCUACGGGAGGCAGCAUG